AACGAAUGGGGGAGAGAGCAGCCAUAUUGAAUUGCCAAUUUCUACAGAGAAGAGACAAUAGAGUACCGAGUUGAGCGAAGUGGAUAUCUUGAAAAACGAAACGCAUAAGAAAGGAAGAAUUUAAGAUUAAUUUCAACUGUACAAUUGAAGAAAAAAAAGCCCUCGUAAGGACAGACACGGGUGAUAGAUCUGAAGUUGCUGGCUUAUUUCAUUGAGGAGUCGGUAAGGUGCGACUUCAUCCAUCAUACACAGGACAGAGCGAUAACCUUAAGGGUGCAGGAACUGGAAGAAUACCUGACUCAACCCCUCCAAACCAUUCUACUUUUGGAUUUCAAAUUUCUCUGAAUUUGUGCUGUUUGCAUUUUUGCAGAGGGAACUUUUUUGUGAAGCAAGUGACUUGCCAAGAUUAAAUAAACUGGAAACUCGAGGAUUAAAGUAAUUAAUUUGCCGACAGUUAAGAACAGAGUGUAUAUAAAAACAAAAAAUAGAGAAGUAAUUGCAGUGAUUUACAAACAGCGAAGAACACUGCAUUUUUGAACAAAAGCGCGAAGGAUGCAUUUAAGCUGAACUCAAGAUUUAAAAAAACAAAAGGAAAAUAAAAACAUUUGCAGUGACGUUUUUCAGUUCAGAUUGCCUUUGCAGUUCCGAAACAGGAUUCUUUUCCCACUAUACACGUUCACGUAUAAUUUUCUAUACUGUGUGCGUGCAUAUCUUCUAUUUAUUCAUAGAAAUGCUAAUUUCUCUUCGUAUGGAAGAGUUUUUGUGUACAUAAACCCGUUUCACGCGUCAGGCGCUCUUUUAUUUUGAGGUCCGCACUGUACGUACACUUGUGUGUAUAUAAAAGUUAUUAAAAAAAAAAAAUUAAAAAAAAUUAAAUCUCCAAACUAAGGACAAUUUUAGUUCCCAGAUUUUUUUUUUUUUUCUGCUUUUGGGAACUGUUUACACCUGGGGGCGUUAAGUUUAAAGAAACCUGCGACAAAAGUAUUUGGAGGGGAUAAAGUCAAAGUUAAGCUUCAAACUGUCACCAACUCAGAGGGUCCAGAGAAAUCUUUAGAUAGCAAUGGCCACAGCAAGAACGGAGAACCCUGCCUCCAUGGUCAUGGGAAUGAGCAAGCCGAACGGGCAGCUCAGAGGACAGCCCAAGCCAACAUCUCUUCCAUCAGGACCCACCGCCCUGGGCUCUCAGGCAGGAAAGGCCCCCAACACCCCCCAGAAAGGAGGCAGCGCCCUCCAGAACAGCGGUGGCAUCAGGUUUGGUGAUGACUGGAAGAAGUGCCUGCAGCUCCCACCCAAAGACACGCGAGUCAGAACCUCAGACGUGACGGCGACCAAGGGCAACGAGUUUGAGGACUACUGCCUGAAGAGGGAGCUGCUGAUGGGCAUCUUUGAGAUGGGCUGGGAGAAGCCCUCCCCCAUUCAGGAGGAGAGCAUUCCCAUCGCUCUGUCCGGCAGGGACAUUUUAGCCCGUGCCAAGAACGGCACGGGCAAGAGUGGCGCCUACCUCAUCCCCCUGCUGGAGCGGAUAGAUCUGAAGAAGGACUUUAUACAGGCCAUGGUGAUGGUCCCCACCCGAGAGCUGGCCCUGCAGGUCAGCCAGAUCAGUAUCCAGGUGGCCAAGCACCUGGGCGGGGUUAAAGUCAUGGCGACCACGGGGGGCACCAACCUGAGGGACGACAUCAUGAGGCUGGACGAAACGGUGCAUGUGGUGAUCGCCACGCCAGGCAGGAUCCUGGACCUAAUCAAGAAGGGCGUGGCCAAAGUGGACCGGCUGCAGAUGAUGGUGAUGGAUGAGGCGGACAAGCUCCUGUCCCAGGACUUUGUGGUCCUGAUCGAGGACAUCAUCAGCUUCCUGCCCAAGAACCGGCAGAUCCUGCUGUACUCGGCCACCUUCCCCAUCAGCGUGCAGAAGUUCAUGGCUAAGCACCUUCAGAAGCCCUAUGAGAUUAACCUGAUGGAUGAGCUCACGCUGAAGGGCAUCACCCAGUACUACGCCUACGUCACUGAGAGACAGAAAGUGCACUGCCUCAACACGCUUUUCUCCAGGUUGCAAAUAAACCAGUCCAUCAUCUUCUGUAACUCCACUCAAAGAGUGGAGCUCCUGGCCAAGAAAAUCACACAGCUGGGCUACUCCUGCUUUUACAUCCAUGCCAAAAUGAUGCAGGAGUACAGGAACCGUGUUUUCCACGACUUCAGAAACGGACUGUGCAGGAACCUGGUCUGCACAGAUCUUUUCACCAGAGGAAUUGACAUCCAGGCUGUGAAUGUCGUCAUCAACUUCGACUUCCCCAAAAACGCAGAGACGUACCUCCACCGCAUCGGGCGGUCAGGGAGAUUCGGCCACCUGGGUCUGGCCAUCAACCUGAUCACGUCGGAGGACCGCUUCAACCUGAAGGCCAUCGAGGACCAGCUGGUGACGGACAUCAAGCCCAUCCCGGGCAGCAUCGACAAGAGCCUGUACGUGGCCGAGUUCCACUCCGGCAGCCCCGAGUGUGAGGGGCAGGAGGGCGACCGGGAGACCACCCACCCCCUGGGGGAGCUGCACCAAGCCUGAGCGGAGACGAGGACACCUGGCACUUGCACACACAUCUGCUUCGGCACGGACAUCAUCCCUCCUUUUUGGUUUUCUUUUUCAUACUUCAGUCCCACUCGAGCUACUUCCCCGUCCAGUCUGCCGCUGGUCACUCUCUCUUUAGUCCGGUAAAGCUGCCAGAAGACUUUCGGUGCAUGAGACCAGCCCAGCUGUUUUACUGCCAACCCCCAGUGAAUGAAUCUCCAUUCAGGGGCUACUCAAACCCCCAAACAAUGAGCAUAAAACUGCACACGUUGAGGCUCCACUGCUCGUACAUCUCUACCUCUCUCAUUGUGUUCUUCUCUUCAGAACCCCAAACUGCAGAAACAAAACAAAAGACUUCGGCAAACUGAUGCACAAAUGAAGUCCUGUGUGCUGGCUCAGCACGCCUAAAAUAAGGAUUCCACUGGCCUAAAUAGGUUAGAUAUAAUCACCAUUUCUUGCUUUUUCAUAUUGAAAAUGAAAAUGAAUUUGCUUCCAAAAUUUAUAAAGGAGUCAGACACAGUCUCAAUAUUUAAAUCUAGAUUAAAAACGCACCUCUAUGCUCAGGCUUACAAUCAGUUGUAGUCUGGAGACAGGGUGCGAGAAGCCUGUAGUCAUAGAGCUUUGUAGGUGGCAAUCCUUUCCUUACUGUCACCUGUCAAUCAGCUGUGACCCGACUUUACAUGGGCUGGCUCUUGAUAGGCGGGUAUGAUUGUCUACCCCUCAUGACUGCAUGGGCUCUCCAUCCCUGUCCUAGUAGAUAUGCAGCCAUAUUCUACUCCUGGCGGGGUCCCCCCAAUGCAUACCACUGCCACUUUACUCACUGUCUGCUAUAUUGCAAAUUCCCUAAUUGCCGUUUCCACCCUCUUCCCCACUCUUGCCCCAACCCUCGAGAGUGCUUCGAGAGUCGUCUGGUCUCCCCCACCUCCUUCGUCAUUGCCUCCACCCUGCCCACAUCUGCUGCCACCUGCUGUUCCCCAUCACCGCCACCCGGCCCCACCCAUCAUCUGAGCCACAUCACAUAUCAUAUCUUGUGCAUAAACUGGCUGACGUGCUGGUCACCAGUCGGCACCCUGAGCCGACCAGAGGAGGAUGGGUUUCCCCCUUGAGCCUGGUUCCUUCCAAGGUUUCUCCCCAUCUGCCACAGGGAGUUUUUCCUUGCCACUGUUGCCUUAGGCUUGCUUCUGUGGGGAUUUAGGCUAGGGUUGUCUGUAAAGCGUAUUGUGACAACUGUUGUAAAAUACGCUAUACAAAUAAAAUUUGAUUUGAUUUGAACAUGAA